UAAGAUCUUCGGGGCAGGGUGAAAUUCCCUACCGGCGGUAUAGCCCGCGAGCUACUUUUUAGUAGCAUGACUUGGUGAAAUUCCAAGGCCGACAGUAAAGUCUGGAUGAGAGAGGAUUAGU
rfam:Paeniclostridium sordellii ATCC 9714 gcs9714.contig.87, whole genome shotgun sequence.